GCUCCGCCCCCUCCCAGCUCGGCGGCUUUGUCCAGUUUUACGUUCACUCCUUUUCGGCUUCUAACUGCCGUUUUUACACCGCGGAAUGACCAGAUAGGCUGAAGACACCGCGUAACUGAGGGAAACGCGGGAGUCUUGGGGCAGCUACGCGGGACGGACUGAGAGAUUUCCCUGAUCCCGGCAGGAAACGGGUGACUUCCCAACGGUCGCCAGCCGGGGGGGGGGGGGAAGCCUCGCGUCUACGCGACCGCUCUUCCCGCCAAUUUCCCAACGGUCGCGGCGGGGGAGGCGGCGGUGCCUCGCGCCCCACUGCGCCUGCGCGUCGCCGUUACCGCCCCUUCACUCGCUGCUCCCUAGCUGUCGUCCCCAGGACUGCGCAUGCGCACAGGGGAAGGCCCGCAGUGCGCACGCGCUCCCCUGUCUCCCAGCAUGCCCCGGGCCGCGACCUAUUUAAGGGCGCGGGCGGGGCCGCUUCGGCCAUUUYCUCGUCACCGCUGUGGGAGCGGGGUGAGUCCGUCUGGGCGUCGCUCGGCGCCUGGGCUGGUCGGCUGUCGCUCUGCGCGGACUCCCCCGUUCCAGACGGCCGUUCCUUUCUUUCCUGGCGUGGUCUUGGCGCGCUCUGGGUCUCGUGGCGGCGGGGGCAGCAGCCGGGGCUCGCGGCGGCCAUUUUGUGCCCCAGUGUGUGCCUCGUGCUGCGCUUUCCGUUAAGGAGGUUUUCGGACCUCUGAGGGGAAGCUCUGCCGGAGGUGUGGAAGCAGUCAGCCAUGYGCCUCCAUGGUUCCUUUGCAGCGCUGCGCUGCAGGUCUCGGGGAGCGGCCUGGGCAUCUCUGUCUGCAGCCCCGUUGCUGAUGGCGCUAGGAAAUGGAGCCUGAAGCUGCGCUUGGCCUGCCGCCUGCCCGAGUCCUGCCGCAUGGGUGAGUCUCCCCAGCCCGUGCGCAGCGGUGGGGCUGGAUGGUCGCUGUGCCGUGGGGGUCCGGGGCCUGUGAUGAGUCAACUCUGGAAUCUCGUUCGGCUGAAGGCUGGUGUUGAGGACUCGGACUCUGACGCCCCGCUGGGGAACAGGCUUCGCUUUAGCUGCUGCCGCUCUUGGGGCGCAUCCACGGUCGGGGUGACUCCAUCCCUGCUGUUCUCUCCCUGCAGGAUGAAGGCUGGGGGCCGGGGGCACCCGGCAAAGCUCUGAGCAGCCCGAGCGAAUGGCGUCUGACUGAGGUAGGCGCUGCGGGUGCUGGCAGUGCUGAGGGAAGGGGGUGCGGGGGGAGCGCUGUGGGCGACUCCCUGGCUCAAGCUGGUUCCUGCAGUUUUAGUGAUGAGGCAAACUAGCUCACUUUGACCUGUGUGAAAACAUCUGAACAGCUGAAAAACUGCUUUUCUGGGGGGAGCGCGGGGGGAGCGGCGGGGCUGGGCGGCUCUGAGCUCCUGCUCUCUCCACAGGUGGCUGGAGGCAGUGGGCGGCAGCAGCUGGUGAGUGCGGGCGCGGGAUGGGGCUGGGUCCUGCUGCUGCCCUGGCCGAGGAUGAGACGAUACCGCCCCAGUCUGAUGCCCGUGACUGAGUGGUUCCCCCUGAGGCUGGUGGCGGGGGGCUUCUGUGGCGGGGGGUUUCUUCCACAGGGGGUAACGGCUGCCUUGUCCUGCCUGCAGGGCUGAGUCCGCGGGAGUUGUCGCUGCGCUGCCUGGGAGUCCCUGGAGCCCGCUGGGCCCUGCUGUCCUUCGCCCUUCCCAGGAUGGCUGCUGUGUGCUGCUGGAGAAGAGCUGCUGCCUGCGUGUG
rnacentral:lncRNA from 1 species